rnacentral:misc_RNA from 1 species
GAUGAAGAACGUAGCGAAAUGCGAAAAGUAAUGUGAAUUGCAGAAUUCAGUGAACCAUCGAAUCUUUGAACGCACAUUGCGCCCGCUGGAACUCAGGCGGGCACGCCUGUCCGAGCGUCAUUUCAACCCUCAGGCCCCCCUUCGCGGGCGGGCCUGGUGUUGGGGCCCGGCCGCUACCCUGCGGCCGUCCCCUAAAUUCAGUGGCGGCCUCGCCGUGAUCCCUUGCGUAGUAAUGCACCUCGCACCGGAGAGCGCCGUGGCCACGCCGUAAAACCCCCAAUUUUCAAUGGUUGACCUCGGAUCAGGUGGGAAUACCCGCUGAACUUAAGCAUAUCAAUAAGCGGAGGA